GACGAACGCUGGCGGCGUGCUUAACACAUGCAAGUCGAACGGAAAGGCCCUGCUUUUGUGGGGUGCUCGUGUGGCGAACGGGUGAGUAACACGUGAGUAACCUGCCCUUGACUUUGGGAUAACUUCAGGAAACUGGGGCUAAUACCGGAUAGGAGCUCCUGCUGCAUGGUGGGGGUUGGAAAGUUUCGGCGGUUGGGGCUGGACUCGCGGCUUAUCAGCUUGUUGGUGGGGUAGUGGCUUACCAAGGCUUUGACGGGUAGCCGGCCUGAGAGGGUGACCGGCCACAAUGGGACUGCGAUACGCACCAGAAGCCUACGGGAGGCAGCAGUGGGGAAUAUUACACAGUGGCGGGAAGCCAGAUGCGACAACGCCGCGAGCGGGAUGACGGCCUUCGGGUUGUAAACCGCUUUCGCCUGUGACGAAGCGAGAGUGACGGUAAUGGGUAAAAAAGCACCGGCUAACUACGUG
rnacentral:rRNA from 1 species